UACAGAGUGUGCGAGCGUUAAUCGGAAUUACUGGGCGUAAAGCGUGCGCAGGCGGUUUUGUAAGCCAGAUGUGAAAUCCCCGGGCUCAACCUGGGAAUGGCGUUUGGGACUGCAAGGCUGGAGUACGGCAGAGGAGACUGGAAUUCCUGGUGUAGCAGUGAAACGCGUAGAUAUCAGGAGGAAUACCGAUGGCGAAGGCAGGUCUCUGGGCUGAUACUGACGCUCAUGCACGAAAGCGUGGGGAGCAAACAGG
rnacentral:rRNA from 1 species